UUCAGCUAUUUGGUGAUCAUGGUCAUACAUGCCCUCAAUGUGGUCAGAUCAAUGUCAAGGUUGGGAACAACAAUCACAUAUUUUGCUGGGCUUGUCAAAGCCACUACUGUUACUUGUGUAGAAAGAUUGUUAGGCGCGACUCACAACACUUUGGUCCAAAGGGUUGCAAACAACACACCGUCGGAUAGCGAUAACGAAGUUACACCGAUUCAUUCUUUUGUUUUCUAGAUUUUGUGUUGUUUGUUAUUUGUUAAUCUAGCUUUGAUACUCUGAGGUGAAAGUGCGAAACAAGGAUCGAGUGAAUGUUUGUUACAUUACAUUACAUUAGUACUGUUGGAUCACAUGAUUUAUUAUAAA